rnacentral:piRNA from 1 species
UCUAAUGCAGGAGCUGCCUGUAUGGGGAAC